UACGUAUGGAGCAAGCGUUAUCCGGAUUUACUGGGUGUAAAGGGCGCGUAGGCGGGACUUCAAGUCAGAUGUGAAAUCUCCGGGCUUAACCCGGAAACUGCAUUUGAAACUGUAGUUCUUGAGUGAUGGAGAGGCAAGUGGAAUUCCUAGUGUAGCGGUGAAAUGCGUAGAUAUUAGGAGGAACACCAGUGGCGAAGGCGACUUGCUGGACAUUAACUGACGCUGAGGCGCGAAAGCGUGGGGAGCAAACAGG
rnacentral:rRNA from 1 species